CCGAGUGCAACUAGGCGCAAUAGCGCACUUGCAUGGGGUGCAAGGGGUCGCAAGUUCAAAUCUUGUCACCCCGACCA
rnacentral:tRNA from 1 species